rnacentral:misc_RNA from 1 species
UGAACUUCAUUUGCGUCGAAGCUUCCGAAGCUUUGUUGCGGUUUGGUGUGUCUUUUAUUUUUACGUAGAACUCAUAUCGAUCCGAUAUGCCGCGUCCGAGAAUGGAUUUUGCGACUAAUAAGUGGCGAGGCACCACGCGAGCAAGAAUGAACAGCCCUGGAGGUUAUGGGCACUGCUCAAUUGGCUCAUUCCUCGGUGCUUCUCGAAGGCCUGGUCAAGGAGGAGUUGCUCAGUGAACUACUAGUUUGAGUUCCCUGAGACGGACACCACUGACAUCACCUACAGUGCCGAGGUACAGGCUUAAUGGCAGAUAUCAAUAGGAGAUGAUGGUGCUGCCACGGACUUUGGCUCGUGAGGGUGCCGUCGCUACUGACAAAGCCUGUGCUCCCCGUCGUCCCUGUUGAAAUGAUGGCUGGAACUUGGAGAGGGUUUGCUGCCACAGCCGGAUCCAGUGUUACAUUCCUGUGGCUUUUUGGUUGUUUCCCAAUUAUUGAAGGGAGUUGCAGGCUUAUCAUGGGCGACACAGUGCUUUGCUCGCACCUUCACGGAGUACAGCAAUGUGGGGAAGCCAGUCGAGGACAGCCUCUCUCGAUUUCUGUCCCGGGGGCGCUAUGCUCUUCCAGCUGACACCUUACAGACAUGUCAGGAAG